UACAGAGGGUGCGAGCGUUGUUCGGAAUUAUUGGGCGUAAAGGGCGCGUAGGCGGUGCGGUAAGUCACCUGUGAAAUCUCCUGGCUCAACUGGGAGCUUGCAGGCGAAACUGCCGUGCUGGAGUGUGGGAGAGGUGCGUGGAAUUCCCGGUGUAGCGGUGAAAUGCGUAGAUAUCAGGAGGAACACCGAUGGCGAAGGCAGGUCUCUGGGCUGACACUGACGCUCAUGCACGAAAGCGUGGGGAGCAAACAGG
rnacentral:rRNA from 1 species